AAAUUGAAGAGUUUGAUCAUGGCUCAGAUUGAACGCUGGCGGCAGGCCUAACACAUGCAAGUCGAACGGUAACAGGAAGCAGCUUGCUGCUUUGCUGACGAGUGGCGGACGGGUGAGUAAUGUCUGGGAAACUGCCUGAUGGAGGGGGAUAACUACUGGAAACGGUGGCUAAUACCGCAUAACGUCGCAAGACCAAAGAGGGGGACCUUCGGGCCUCUUGCCAUCAGAUGUGCCCAGAUGGGAUUAGCUUGUUGGUGAGGUAACGGCUC
rnacentral:rRNA from 2 species